rnacentral:rRNA from 1 species
CCUACGGGGGGCAGCAGUGAGGAAUAUUGGUCAAUGGGCGGAAGCCUGAACCAGCCAAGUAGCGUGCGGGAUGAAGGCCCUACGGGUCGUAAACCGCUUUUGCACGGGGAUAACCCCCUCCACUUGUGGAGGUCUGCAGGUACCGUACGAAUAAGGGCCGGCUAAUUCCGUGCCAGCAGCCGCGGUAAUACGGAAGGCCCGAGCGUUAUCCGGAUUCAUUGGGCUUAAAGGGAGCGUAGGCGGGCCUUCAAGUGAGGUGUAAAAUGCCGCGGCUCAACCGCGGCCCCGCAGCGCAAACUGGACGCCUUGAGUUCACAACAGGCAGGCGGAAUUCGUGGUGUAGCGGUGAAAUGCAUAGAUAUCACGAGGAACCCCGAUUGCGAAGGCAGCCUGCCGGGGUGCGACUGACGCUGAGGCUCGAAGGUGCGGGUAUCGAACAGGAUUAGAUACCCGAGUAGUC